GCUACCCUAUAAGGAUUAAUGCAAUUGUCUCUUGUGACAAUUCCUAAAUCAGAUGUGACAAGAAACUUCUAACUCCAAUCAAAAUUUUCCGCACUUUUCAUUACAUACUUAAUUCCAAGGCGAACGGGUCAAAAAAGGAUGAACAAGUGAUCAAAGAUGCCAAGAGGAGCCAGAAAAGUCAUUGAAUUGAGUGAAGGCCUCAGUGGUAAUAAAUUGGAGAGAUAAAUGUUUUCAAAUAUGGGUCGUCAAUUUCGGAAGCUAACGCCAUCUAACUUUCACAGGUAGUAGAAAGGUAUCCCAGAUGCGUCGACCAAAUAGAUAUAGUGAGACCUGGGAUCGAACCCAUGAACCCGAGCUUGGCUCGGUUGCGCGUGAACCUAUUGCGCUACAACCAUCUCCUUUGAAGUUCCACUUGAGCUAGGGCCGUUCCUGACCUGCAUGAAACCAACCUAAAGAAAAAUUUACGUCUCUUUGCCCCAUCUUCCUGGUCCAAGAAGUUCUUUCGUUUCGUACGUGUCUCGCCUGGUUCAAUGAACCUCCUGCCACAUCACGUGGAAAAUGCACCUUGCACUUGAACUAACCAGUGCAUUCAUAUAUCGUCAUGAACCGCCGUAAUUCAUCAGCAACAACAGCCUAUUUAUAAUCGUCCCGCUUUGGGCAGAAAAAUGGGCUUCGAAUCAUUAUUUGCCUAAUGUUUGGCGUUGGUUUGCUCGAUUAUCCUGACCU